rnacentral:rRNA from 1 species
ACAGUCACACAUUAGAUACCCCUGUAGUCCUGGCCGUAAACGAUGUGGACUUGGUGUUGGAAAUGGCUCCGAGCUGCUCCAGUGCCGAAGGGAAGCUGUUAAGCCCACCGCCUGGGAAGUACGGUCGCAAGACUGAAACUUAAAGGAAUUGGCGGGGAGCACCACAACGCGUGGAGCCUGCGGUUUAAUUGGAUUCAGCGCCGGACAUCUCACCAGGGCGACAGCAGAAUGAUGGCCAGGUUGAUGACCUUGCUUGACAAGCUG